GUGGGAGUAAAUGAUGAAGAAUUCAUCUUUAGUAAAACCAUAGCCCAAAGCUUAAAGCUUUCAUGUUUGAGUAUGCCACUAUCCAUUUGGGAGCAAAGGAGCUAUUUGAAUUUUCAUCUUCUAGAAAAAAUUAUAAACCCUUACCACAUAGGGUUAUUUGUAUGCAUUCUGAUAUAUAUCUCGAAAUCCUUGAAGUUUCUUGUUGUGAUUGGCCAUCUUCCAUUGCUAGAAGAGAGUCUUUGAGGAUACAAGCAGCCUUAGAGGUCAAGUCCAACACAAGCAUUUCCUGCCUCUGAUAACAUUUGACUCUUUCUUUUCGAGUUGUCACGACAUUGCAGAACAUUGGUGCUGAGAAUAGUGACAAUGCCUUAUAAUAAAGUAUUUUGGUUGUGAACUUGGAGCACAUGAAACUUCAAAACUUGUAGGGCUUCUUGAGGACUUCAUCAAGAAACUAAGCAUUGGUUGUUGUAUCAAAGUCUUUUCAUCUUGAUAAUCAAUACUUGAGCUAAUCUUCCAUUGAAAUUGCGUGAGGAAAUAAGAAUGAACAAUGAUAUAAAUGUACUCUUCUUUGGAAAUGCUUUCGGAACUCUCCAAGAAUAAUUGUCUUGGUUGAUUUGAUACUGCCAAGACCCAAAACAAAUGCACAAGAUAGAAGCG
rnacentral:lncRNA from 1 species